rnacentral:lncRNA from 10 species
UCGAUUCCAGAAAGCCGCGCCGGCCCCAGUCCCCAUGGGCUGAAGGCAGGUUGAGUUCUUCCCCAGGUCUGCGAGCCUCGAAGGCUUCUUUCAGACAGCAGACCCCUUAGAAGCGCAAGGCUGCUUUCUGACAAAGAAUCAAGUGUUCCUUUCAACCAGCCAAGGGACUGGUUUUCUCGCUGACCCUUUGACAGCUCCAGCCGGUCCCUCCAUUCGAGGUCCCUGACUUCCUGCAACAGACUGAGAUGGCCUUCUGAGCUUUUCCAGGGCUGACGACCACCUUCUUGAUACCUUCCCCUCUCUCGUUCUGAAUCCGUGCCCACCAGAUGGGGCCGUCUAGUUGCAGGAAAACAAGCUCAGGGCUCCCACUGAUUCUACAUGAUGGUGAGUUUCAUAAUUAUUUCAUUAUAUAUUAUAAGGCAAUAAGAAUAGAAAUAAAGUGCACAAUAAAUGUAAUGCGCUUGAAUCAGCCCAAAACCAUCCCCCCACCUCCCCCUACCCAUGGAAAAAUUGUCUUCCAUGAAACUGGUCCUUGGUGCCAAAAAGCUUGGAGACCUCUGGUGUAUAGGGUUACAUGUUGUACUCACCUUAUAAGAAGUGGCAGAAAGCAAGUUUAGUGAUAAAACUAGCUAAAAAACAAAGCAAGGGUAUAACAAACACAAAAAUCACAAUGUAGUUAACUCUGGGAUAGCCAAUAGUUUCCCUGGUGUUCAUCUUAUUAUUUUAUUAUGUAGGUGCCCCUUGAUUCUGGGUAUUUUUGUAUGUAUCAAAUAUUACAUAAUUAAAAGCCAGCCAAAGCCAGCUAUCAUGACUGCACUCUCAUUACUCACGCCCCGGGCCUGCAAGCUGUGGUGUGGUUUCCAGGUUCCCCGUGAGCAUCGCCGCAGCGACCGCCCACAGCACCAGCUGCUGAUGGCUCACACCUCCUGGGGCUGCAAGGCCUGUCCCUGGCUCUGGCAGCGAGAUGACAGGGCUGUUGCCCCGGCAGGGUGAGGCCAAAGGGAAUCCAGGCUUUCGGAGAUGAGGACUGGGAGGUCUCCAGACCACACAAGCCCCCUAUUUGCACUGGCCUUUGGAAUGAGCCUACAGCCUGCCUCCACUCCUCCUGGUACCCCAGCUGUUCUCAAGGAAUUGGCCAGAAGUCAGACUCCUUUCCCAGCUGUCCUCCACUUCUUUCCUGCCAGGCACCCUAGGCCCCAUGGUGGGAUUGGGCCUAUAGGCUGUGAUUUUCCACAUCCUUGUCAAACCUGUACUACCUGAAUGCCUAGAGGAAAAGAUACUGCCUUAAUUACUAUUAUGAGCACGAAUGCCUUCUUACUCUUGAAUUUAGCUGAGUGCUGCCUGCAGGUAAAGUCACCUGGAGAACCAUCCAGGGACUUUGUCCUCAUAGGAUCACUUGUACCUCUCUAGGGUUGCUGUGGCAGCUGCCAGAGUGGCCCGGGCCAUGGAUGAGGGCCAGGAUAUGGAAAGCAGAGGCAGAAAUGAGCCCAGAGGCCACAGGGCCCAGCUCUCAGGCUCCCACGGUGAAGCCCAGAGGGUUCCUUCUCUCUCCUGCUUCAGGCUGACAAUGUUUGUCAGCCUCUGCUCCCAACCCCUAUACCCAGCAACCUCUGCGCCCAAGCACAUGGUCUGAAGAAUAUUCUGGUGUUGGGCCCCUGUAGGUGGCCUGCCGUGACGGUGGAAGCCUGGAACGUAGUGACAUGGAUUCAUCAUUGGGAUGUUUCAUCCUAAGGAAACGCACUCGCAGGUGGCUGUAGACCUUGGGGACUCCAGCCUCGUUCAUUUAAGCUCCCACAAUGUUCCAGGCCCUAUGCGGCUUGCAAGGGGCAGAGAGACACAGAAUGACAGCCGACAUGGCACUCUAUUGGUGCACUGGCACUGUUUUUUUUUUUGAGAUGGAGUCUUGCUCUGUCACCCAGGCUGGAGUGCAGUGGCAUGAUGGAGAUGCAACCUCUACCUCAUGGGUUCAAGCGAUUCUCCUGCCUCA